rnacentral:tRNA from 1 species
CGGGGCGUAGUGUAAUGGUAGCACGAGUCCUUUGGGAGGAUUUAGCGGGAGUUCGAAUCUCCCCGCCCCGACCA